UACGGAGGGGGCUAGCGUUGUUCGGAAUUACUGGGCGUGAAGCGCACGUAGGCGGACUGUUAAGUCGGGGGUGAAAUCCUGGGGCUCAACCUCAGAAUUGCCUCCGAUACUGGCAGUCUCGAGUGCGGGAGAGGUGAGUGGAAUUCCCAGUGUAGAGGUGAAAUUCGUAGAUAUUGGGAAGAACACCAGUGGCGAAGGCGGCUCACUGGCCCGUAACUGACGCUGAGGUGCGAAAGCGUGGGGAGCAAACAGG
rnacentral:rRNA from 1 species